UACAGGGGGGGCAAGCGUUGUUCGGAAUUACUGGGCGUAAAGGGCUCGUAGGCGGCCAACUAAGUCACACGUGAAAUCCCCAGGCUUAACCUGGGAACUGCGUGUGAUACUGGAUGGCUUGAAUCCGGGAGAGGGAUGCGGAAUUCCAGGUGUAGCGGUGAAAUGCGUAGAUAUCUGGAGGAACACCGGUGGCGAAGGCGACAUCCUGGACCAAUUCUGACGCUGAGGAGCGAAAGCCAGGGGAGCAAACGGG
rnacentral:rRNA from 1 species